rnacentral:rRNA from 1 species
CCUACGGGUGGCAGCAGUGGGGAAUAUUGGACAAUGGGCGAAAGCCUGAUCCAGCCAUGCCGCGUGUGUGAAGAAGGCCUUCGGGUUGUAAAGCACUUUCAGUGGGGAAGAAAGCCUUGGGGCUAAUACCCUCGAGGAAGGACAUCACCCACAGAAGAAGCACCGGCUAACUCCGUGCCAGCAGCCGCGGUAAUACGGAGGGUGCGAGCGUUAAUCGGAAUUACUGGGCGUAAAGCGCGCGUAGGCGGUCUGAUAAGCCGGAUGUGAAAGCCCCGGGCUCAACCUGGGAACGGCAUCCGGAACUGUCAGGCUAGAGUGCAGGAGAGGAAGGUAGAAUUCCCGGUGUAGCGGUGAAAUGCGUAGAGAUCGGGAGGAAUACCAGUGGCGAAGGCGGCCUUCUGGACUGACACUGACGCUGAGGUGCGAAAGCGUGGGUAGCACACAGGAUUAGAUACCCUAGUAGUC